rnacentral:rRNA from 1 species
UACCAGCACCCCGAGUGGUCGGGACGAUUAUUGGGCCUAAAGCAUCCGUAGCCGGUUCUACAAGUCUUCCGUUAAAUCCACCUGCUCAACAGGUGGGCUGCGGAGGAUACUAUAGAGCUAGGAGGCGGGAGAGGCAAGCGGUACUUAGUGGGUAGGGGUAAAAUCCGUUGAUCCAUUGAAGACCACCAGUGGCGAAGGCGGCUUGCCAGAACGCACUCGACGGUGAGGGAUGAAAGCUGGGGGAGCAAACCGG